rnacentral:rRNA from 1 species
GACGAACGUUGGCGGCGUGCUUAAUACAUGCAAAUCAACUGAAGCAGUGGUAGCAAUAUCGCUGUGGAGGUGGCGCACGGGUGAGUAACACGUAGGUAAUCUGCCUUCAGGUCUGGCAUAACUCCGGGAAACCGGGGCUAAUAGCAGAUGAUGCAGCGGCUCGACAUCGAGACAGUUGUUAAAGCUAUGGCGCCUGAAGAUGAGCCUGCGUCUGAUUAGCUAGUUGGCGGGGUAACGGCCCACCAAGGCAACGAUCAGUAGCUGGUCUGAGAGGAUGAUCCGCCACACUGGAACUGAGACACGGUCCAGACUCCUACGGGAGGCAGCAGUAAGGAAUAUUGCUCAAUGGGAGAAAUCCUGAAGCAGCAACGCCGCGUGAGGGACGAAGGGCUUUUGCUUGUAAACCUCUGUAGUGAGAGAAAAAAAUCCCAAUCUUUGGGACAUGGUGGUAUCUCAAAAGUAAGCCCCGGCUAACUACGCG